UUCCAUUGACGGUGGCGGUGCUGUGGUCUUCGCCGAGGCCGCUGUCUGGCAAGUGCAGCAUGGAGCGGCGCUGGAAGGCCUGCAGGCUGGACGUGGGAAUGAGGCCUGAGAUGGACACGGACUGCUUACGGAGCUGCGGGUCUUCCUGAAUGCUGAGUCGGACUCUCUCCAGAGUGGUCUGCCAUUUUUCCGGCCCCUGGUUCAGCUCGCCCUCCAGCCUCUCAAUGUCCUGCGGAGCCGAACACACGUAACAGGGACCACGCGUGACACACAAUACCAGAACAAGCGGGUUUGAACUUGAAACCAGGGUUUUGGGUUCCGAACUCUCACCGCGAGGAGCUUGGUGAUGGCGUCGGGUUGGGCGCGGCUCACGCUGCUGUAGCACGGCCAAACGAUCCUCCGCUUGCUGUUGGAGACGGCGUUGGCCUCCUCCGAGCUCUCCGGCCUCACGGCCAUCAUCCUCCAGUCGUAACACGGCCCAGUGGACAGCGUCUCAUCCGUGAAGAAGUCCCAUUUAGUCAGGCUGGGGAUGCUGACAGAAGGCUUGAGGAUCGGCUGAAACAAGGACGGGUUUAAUAAGAAUCAGAUGCACGGUGAUGAUUACGUAAGAUACCGUGGAAGGAUAAUGUGUUAUAAUUAGGACAAACGGUCCCGAAGAACAAGUCUAAGUGGGUUAUUUUCAACAAGUGCACCCAGCGCUGUGAUUCUAGCUGAGAGCUUUGUGUUACUGAGCAGUUUGGCCGAUUGCACAUGAAGCCUCAGAAUGGUUCAAGCUCCUCUUAUUGAUUUAAGCCCAGCUGGGGUAAAACAGGAAACACGAGACACAUUCGACAUCGGAGAGCUGCUCAAUCUGAGAAACAAGACUGAAAUCAGUAACACGGUCCUUCGAAAACAACACAAUCAGAGAUGAGCUGAAAUCACUGAAUGAAUAAAACCACUGCAGUCCAAGUGUGAUGGAGUUAUACUUCAACUCUUCCUUUUUCAGAUUAAGUAGAAAAAGCUUUUUGAAGCUUUUAGUUAAUAAUGAAAAUUAAACUAACAAGCUGA